rnacentral:rRNA from 1 species
GAUGAACGCUGGCGGCGUGCCUAAUACAUGCAAGUCGAGCGAACAGACGAGGAGCUUGCUCCUCUGACGUUAGCGGCGGACGGGUGAGUAACACGUGGAUAACCUACCUAUAAGACUGGGAUAACUUCGGGAAACCGGAGCUAAUACCGGAUAAUAUAUUGAACCGCAUGGUUCAAUAGUGAAAGACGGUUUUGCUGUCACUUAUAGAUGGAUCCGCGCCGCAUUAGCUAGUUGGUAAGGUAACGGCUUACCAAGGCAACGAUGCGUAGCCGACCUGAGAGGGGGAGCGGCCACACUGGAACUGAGACAGGGCCCAGACUCCAGCGGGAGGCAGAAGAAGGGAAUCUCCCGCAAGGGGCGAAGGCCUGCGGGACCACCGCCGGGUGAGUGAGGAAGUGCUUGGGAUCGAAAAACUCUUUUAUGGGGAAAGAAAAAAUGUGAAAUUAACAAGACACGUUUGGAGGGUACCAACUAAGAAACCCCCGCUUACCUAGGU